rnacentral:rRNA from 1 species
GACGAACGCUGGCGGCGUGCUUAACACAUGCAAGUCGAGCGGAGCGGCGAACGGGUGAGUAACGCGUGAGUAACUGCCCCCCUCUCUGGGAUAACAGUUGGAAACGGCUGCUAAUACAGGAUAGUGGGGGAUGACUCGCGUCCUAUCAGCUUGUUGGUGGGGUAGUGGCCUACCAAGGCGACGACGGGUAGCCGGCCUGAGAGGGGGACCGGCCACAUUGGGCUAAGAUACGACCCAAGCGCCCACGGGAGGCAGCAGCGGGGAGUAUGGCACAAUGGUGGAAAGCCUGAUGCAGAAACGCCGCGUGGUGGAUGACGGCCUGCGGGUUGUAAACCGCAUUCAGCCAUGACGCGGUAGUGGCAGAAGAAGCACCGGCUAACUACGUGCCAGCAGCCGCGGUAAUAC